rnacentral:lncRNA from 1 species
CAAGUCCAUUGCUCUUUUUAAAGAAUGGAAUAUUAGUUAGUUUGUCCAAAGAUGACUAAAGGAGGGAAGCUAUCUGUUCUCAUUGCCUUGUGGAGACAUGGGAUCCAUAUGUCCACUUCACGUUGAUUGCUAGUAGACUUCACAGAUUUAUUAGAAUACAAUCAAUUACAUCUGUAGAUUUAUUGCUUGAUUAAUUAUGAGA